ACCAGUUUGGCAGAUAAAUGCAUUAGAUUUAGGAUCUAAUUAUAAGAGAUUCUUAACUGGUA
rnacentral:tRNA from 1 species